rnacentral:rRNA from 1 species
GAUGAACGCUGGCGGCGUGCCUAAUACAUGCAAGUCGAGCGAACGGACGAGAAGCUUGCUCCUCUGAUGUUAGCGGCGGACGGGUGAGUAACACGUGGAUAACCUACCUAUAAGACUGGGAUAACUUCGGGAAACCGGAGCUAAUACCGGAUAAUAUUUUGAACCGCAUGGUUCAAUAGUGAAAGACGGUCUUGCUGUCACUUAUAGAUGGAUCCGCGCUGCAUUAGCUAGUUGGUAAGGUAACGGCUUACCAAGGCAACGAUGCAUAGCCGACCUGAGAGGGUGAUCGGCCACACUGGAACUGAGACACGGUCCAGACUCCUACGGGAGGCAGCAGUAGGGAAUCUUCCGCAAUGGGCGAAAGCCUGACGGAGCAACGCCGCGUGAGUGAUGAAGGUCUUCGGAUCGUAAAACUCUGUUAUUAGGGAAGAACAAAUGUGUAAGUAACUGUGCACAUCUUGACGGUACCUAAUCAGAAAGCCACGGCUAACUACGUG